rfam:Citrus sinensis cultivar Ridge Pineapple sweet orange scaffold00035_contig_84, whole genome shotgun sequence.
AUACCAUGAUGAGGACACCUUCUGAGCAAUUCCUUGAAUCUUUCUCAAGCCUCAUACAGACUUUUAUCUUCAAGUUGGUAGAAUGAAGUAAUCUCAUUCCGCAACUU